CCCUCUGUAGACCCCAAGGAUGAAGUGACAUACAUCUCAGUAACUACAAGGGCCAGAAAUUUGGCUCAUUCAUCUAUCCAGGUCAUGCCCAUAGAAAACAUGACCUCAGCAGACCCAGAUGUGAUCUACAGCAACACGACCACACAGAGGAAAAAGGCUGCAGCAAAUCCACACGAGGUCAUCUACAGCACCGUGGCUCGGAAAUAGAAGGUGGCAAGAUGCCCCCAGACCCUACCAGACGGACCCUGGCACUGCAGACAGGACAUCACAGGGACACCAAGUCUCUGGAGACAAGGAGACACCCAGAGCUCCUGGAUGAGCUUCACAUAAACACAGGCAGAACAUGCAAACUCUACACAUACAGUGUCGGGACUGGAAUCAAACUGUAUAUCACUGUAUACUUUUAUCCAUCCGUCUUCCAUAAGCUCUUUUGAUGGUUGUGGGGAACCAAUCCCAUGAUACACAGGGUAUCAGGCAAAGAGGCUCCUGCCUGGUGUGACAUCACCACAGAACAUGAAGCCUUUGUGAUGUUAAUGAUAUCAUUUGACACCUGGUGCUUCUCUUGGCUGCACAACAUGUUAAGGAAGAUGACAGCAGUAUCAUCAAGUUUUUGGUUCACCCUCAUUUAACACACCUGAUUCAACUCCUUGUGCUUAUUACCACACAACUCUUGAGCUGGAUCAUUAGUGGCGGAAGGGGGAAAGAACUAAGCUACACAGGGCUCCGGCCCCCCAGGACUGGAGUUUGAGACCCAUGGCUUAGGGAGUUGAGCAUCCAGUUUAUAAUUCAUGGGGCCCGUGGUCCUGGGUUUGAGACUGGCUGAGGUCAAUCCCAUCUGUUAUUUUGUAUUUAUUGUUUGUUCCCCAGUGUUUUCUGUUUUCCUUUUUGAGUUUUCCUUUUCUUUGUUUGUCUUCCAUGUGCUUUGGUUGUACUUUGUUUUCUUGUUUCUUUUUCUAGUGUAGUAUGUCUCCGGUUGUUCAAUUUUAGGUCUUUCUUUCUAUUUCUUUCUAUUUCCAUUCUUAGUCUCUGUGCCUAUUGGUUGUUAUUGGUUCCACCUGAUGCCCGUUUCCUUGUGCCAGUGUUUGUUGAUUGGGUAAUUGAUUGUCUUACACCUGUUCCUCGUUUGCCCCAGUUUUCAUUGUAUAUAGGUACAGUAUAUAGAAAAUGUAUGGAUGAAUUGCAUUCACAGAUUUUUAUGAAAAAUAGUGAGGUCCAAAAAAAUAACCCAACUAGUCAAGUUUUAUCAGUAUUUGCUAUACAUGUGAGGUUUUUUGGUAUAGCAAAACAAGGUACACACACACGCGCACAAUUUAUUGAUCCUGACAAUAUAUAUUACAGCUGCAAUAUAUAUAAUUAGACAGCAGCAUACCACAGUACACAUAGCUUAUGUCUAAGAACGGAAAAGUUUAUGAUGAAUAAAAAUAGAAAACUCA